rnacentral:rRNA from 1 species
UACGAAGGGGGCUAGCGUUGCUCGGAAUCACUGGGCGUAAAGCGCACGUAGGCGGCUUUCUAAGUCAGGGGUGAAAUCCUGGAGCUCAACUCCAGAACUGCCUUUGAUACUGGGAAGCUCGAGUCCGGAAGAGGUGAGUGGAACUCCGAGUGUAGAGGUGAAAUUCGUAGAUAUUCGGAGGAACACCAGUGGCGAAGGCGGCUCACUGGCUCGGUACUGACGCUGAGGUGCGAAAGCGUGGGGAGCAAACAGG